UUUGCCUACGGGGGGCAGCAGUGGGGAAUAUUGGGCAAUGGGCGCAAGCCUGACCCAGCAACGCCGCGUGAAGGAAGAAGGCUUUCGGGUUGUAAACUUCUUUUGACAGGGAAGAGCAGAAGACGGUACCUGUCGAAUAAGCCACGGCUAACUCCGUGCCAGCAGCCGCGGUAAUACGGAGGAUGCGAGCGUUAUCCGGAUUUAUUGGGUUUAAAGGGUGCGUAGGCGGGCUUUUAAGUCAGCGGUAAAAAUUCGGGGCUCAACCCCGUCCGGCCGUUGAAACUGGGGGCCUUGAGUGGGCGAGA
rnacentral:rRNA from 1 species